rnacentral:tRNA from 1 species
UGGCUCAGAGGUUAAAGCGUCUGCCUCCAAUGCAGGAGAUCUGGGUUCGAUCCCUG